rnacentral:misc_RNA from 1 species
CAGAACUUUCUUCAAGCUUAAUAUUCAUAAUCUUCUUUUGUUCUCCCUCCGUUAAGUAUGUAGAUCGUUGUAGAUCCUUAUUAGUAUCAUCUUGUAUCCUUUUACCUGCAGAAGUUUCAUCCUCGUUGUGUCCAUGCACGUAGUCCAUUAAGUUUGAGAGAGCUAUAUUGAAAUCUGUAAGCUGAGCUCUUGUUUCGUCUACAGCACUAGCAGAGUUCAUAUCAGUGGACAGGCUCUUCUGAGCUUUAUCUAGUAUUGCUUGCAAAUACUUUCCCUGUGCUUCUAUUCUCAUUUGCAGCUUCUGUUGAACCUCAAGCUGCUCAUGUAAUCUUUUCUGGACGUCAAUCUGACGCCUCAGCGCCUCACUAAUUGGAGCUUCUCCUUGCAUACCAUCCAUGCUUGAUGAAGUGAUACUCGGUCCUGAGGAAUGCAAACUGAAUUGUCUGAAUGACUCCCCUGCAAUAUUCUCUCUGUUUUGUUCUGCUGCAUUUUGUUUCUUGGUCUGCUGUCCAAGUCUAUACUUCUGCAAAUGACUCUUCAAAUGAUACAAUGUCAAUCCCUUCAAUCCCAUUAACCUUAGUACUGACUUGGGAGUUGCUUUAUCAGGUCCACCAAGCUUAGUUACAGCAUCAACAAAACGAUCAUGUAAAUCAGCAGUCCACCUCAAUCUUGGCUUUGGGUCCCUUGUCAUCACCACCCCAUUUUCAUACCCAUACCCCAUAUCUCCUCCCCCAUUAUACAUCCUAUCCAUGAACCCACCACUCCCAAAUUCCUCAAAAUCCUCAAAACUCUUCCACAAGUCACUAAAGACACUAAAUUUAAUCACCCCAAAAAGCUUAUUAAGUAAAAUAAACAGUUUCAACAACUCCCAAGUGGAAAAAGAACCAAAUGAUCAACUAAAAAUUGAAUCUUUUUUCUUUGGGGGUCCAUAAAAAGUGUCAAAGAAAUCAAAUACAGAAGAAUUUGUUUUUAAAACUUUG